GGGAGGUGCAGGAAGGGGCCAGCCCCAGCGAGAGUCAGCCAGGCCCCAAACAGAGCCAGGGGUUCCCCCGGGGGGGAGUGCUCACUUAGGAAGGGCACCAUGGACAGCCUGGCAGGAGGUCGCCCUGUGCUGAGCAGGCAGCUCUGGAGUAAACCACCUGCCUCUCUGAAGGAAGAAGGAAAGCGCAUCCACAAACGGAGCAAAGGUCCCCAGAGGCAGAGCAGAAGCCUCUGGGAUGCUGCAGCUUUGUGCAGACACUGGGGACCAGGACUGGGGCCCCGAGCAGGCUGCAGGUGCUGGCCGUGCUCUUUAUCCUGGGCACUCUGCCAGGGCCACACGGAGCGUGGCUCCCGGGAGAUGGAGACGUCUGAGUGUCAGCUCAGGUCUCGGUGUUUCCAGGUGACAUGCUGGCUGCUAGUGUAGAGCAUGGUAAACCAUCUUUUUUUUUUUGGUUACUAUUUACUUAUGCAAAAUAAUGUGAGUUUCUGCCAUUUGCAACAAGUGUGCCAGCUGCAAUGAGUCAGCGGGUGGACACAGGUGAGCAUGGCCAGACUGUGCCAGAACAUGGUGACAGACAGACAUGCUUCGAAGUUCACUGUGGGAAGGGACAGGUCCCCAGAGAGAGGUGAGACGGUGCAACGCGAGGGUGAGUUCGGAGUCGUCCUCCAGAUGUCCACAAAGGCUCGAGAGGCCCUGCUGUGUGUCAGGCACUGCGUGAAGGUUGUGGGCACAGUAGGAGGGACACAAGACACCUUCUCUCGAGGACCGUUGGUUCCAGUUGUGGAAACAGUAACAGCAUAAGAUGAUGAGUAAGAAAAGAAUGCUGGCAGGAAAGUGGCCAUGGAGGGAACUGCUUCCGGGCCUCUCCAUGGGAUUUGCCAGGCGUGGACUGAGCGAGGACCUUCCCUGAGAACACCAGCUGCUCCAGGAGAGAGAAGAGGUGGAGCCCCGGCGGGGGGCAUGGGGCAGGAGGCAGCCACCCACACCUUCCCUCUCUGAAUGCUGAGCAGAGGCUCUCAGCAGAGGGGAAAGAAGAGCAGAGGCCACGAUUGGGAAGACAGACCCAGUGGGGGUCCUCGGCGCCGUCCACAUCCAUCUGCAACCUGCUGCCCAGAGCCUGCCUGCCCGGGGUGUGCACAGAGCAGCGUGGUCUGUCCCGGCUUCACGGCCUGACACGGCCAGGCAAGGAUGACAGGGAAAGGGAGGCAGGGACUUGGGGCUGUUGGAGCCAAGCUGAGGAGGAAGGAGCUGGGAUGGGAAGCGGGUGGCAGGAAGGAGCGUGAGGCCUGUGGGUGGAAGGUCCCUGGCCUUGGAGAUGGAAGCAUUUCACUUGUGCAUCUCACAGCCCAGAGAAGCCAAGCCCGGACCAUGGGGGAGAGAGGAGGACCCCCGUCUCGGGGCGGGCUGAGGAGACGCUCUCUCCACGGCUUCCGGAUGGGUCUCCCUCCAUCUCAGCUGCAUCUAUGGGAAAACGAUGAAAUGCUCCCUCCACUGCCGGGCCUUCUCUUAUAAAGCAGGUUUCUUCGAAGUAUAAAAAUUAAUAGAAAAGGUUCCAUAAAAAAUCAAGAAAGUAAGUAUGUAAAGAUGAAAACAAAAAGCACUGGAAAUGCUCUUCAUAGCUGACGUUUUCUUAUUCACUUUUUAUUAAAACAGGAUGAGGCGUCCUGCCUUUUCCGGCCUUAUCUAGGAAGUGUCUUGCCAGGUCACCAAAUGGCAAGCAGAACCGUAAGCUGAAGUUGUCUGCCUAGAAUUCCACUGUGGCAAUGUUCUGCAUCCCGACUGGACAGCUCUGUGCGGCGGCAUCGGGGGCCCUUUUCAUGCCAUUCAAGGCCCCGUGGAAACAGACACCACAGCUCAGCAUGAGACUGUGGCCCCACCUGACCCGGCUCAUCCAUCCCCAGCCUCUCGUGGUCCCCGGCCCUAUGCCGACAUUUGGCACUCGAUGAGCCAUUUCUCCACAUUUCAGGAGCCUUGUUUUGAGACAGCCUGGCUGUCUGAGAGCCACCGGAGUCGACACUGGAUGCCCGGCCUGGUGCCCGUGGGCCAGCACCGCCUGAGGAGGAGGCGUCUCCGGAGGCCACAGGCAGAGCCACUGAGAGGGAUCUUUAAGCAGAGGGCCCCAGACGCCUCCUGGGACCCACGGGUUUGGCUGCCAUGCAGGGUCUGGGAGCUACAGAGAGUCGGGAGCCAAGGGCGCGGUGGCUCACACCUGUAAUCCCAGCACUUUGGGAGGCCAAGGAUCACGAGGUCAGGAGAUCGAGACCAUCCUGGCUCAUACGGUGAAACCCCAUCUCCACUAAAAAUACAAAAAAUUAGCCGGGCGUGGUGGCGGGCGCCUGUAGUCCCAGCUACUCCGGAGACUGAGGCAGGAGAAUGGCGUGAACCCGGGAGGCGGAGGUUGCAGUGAGCCGAGAUCGCCCACUGCACUCCAGCUUGGGCAACAGAGCGAGACUCCAUCUCAAAAAAAAAAAAAAAAGAAAGAAGGAAAAAAAGUAAUAACGAGAGUAGGGAGCCAAGUCCCUGGGUUGCCAAGGCAAUCCGUGGAAGCCCCUGACUUCGAGCAGGACACAGGGCCCUAAGGACAGCCCCAGCCCCUGCAGUGUGGCCUGCAAUGGGUGUCAUUCAUUUUGACCUGGCUGUUGUGGUUUUGGGUGGCAUUGUUAUUUGUUUGAAAAGAAAACACAUGGGCUGCGUAUGGCAUGAGCAAGUACAGACGUCAUUGGGAUCGGCUAAUGAAAAUGACAGAGUACUCUAAAGUGACACCUUACAGGGACGCGGUGAUGUGGCACCAGGCCCAGUGGCACCAGCACACCAUCGUCUCGCUGGCAUUUCCACCGUGGUCCCUGUUAAACCAGAAAGAACGAAAGUGUGAUGGGGAAAAAUAAGUAUGUGUUUCUUGUAAAACACAGCUCAUUUCAAAACUACUGAGAACAAGGGGACAGUUUGAAAUUGGGCAGAGCCCCUUGGGACCAGCUGGACCAGGAAGAAGGUCCAAUCAGCUCUUCCUCAGGGCCAGGAAUCUCUCGGUCACUCCGAGGCCUGGAAGAAAGUUUCCAGAACCUUUUUUUGCACAAAUAAACUGCAGAUCUGAAAUCAGCAAGAAGGUUCAGGACCUGGGCCCCCAGGAUUGGAACCACGGGAGUCUCAGAUCCUCAAACUAGCUGGGUUUGCUUCAGUUUUCUCAGGUGGGACGGGCCACCCUGGGUUUCCCAGGGUGAUAUCCCGACAGUGGAGGUGAGAUGUCACAGAAUGGAGGAUGUGAUAUGAUCUGUAACAUGGAAUCCAGCAGAAGCUCCAGCACUUAAAAGACAGGAAGCAGUGGAGGGCCUGGGUGUCCCAGCCUUCAUCAUUCCCUCACCUGGAGCAGCUGGUGUCCUCAGGGAAGGUUCUCAUUCAGUCCAUGCCUGGCAGAUCCCAUGGAGGUGCCCGGGUGAUUCUGGCACAAGGGCUGGAAGAUUCCUUCUUUGAUCACUGCUUGUGGCCGGAGCUGGCUCACAGGCCUGGGGCUGCUCAGCUGCAGGACAGUGGGAGGAGGUGGGCUCUGGGUUCCUCAACCCGGCUCACAGCCCUGCUCCGACUGUCCCUGCUGGGCACCCCUGGCGGUGAUAUCAUCAGCCUGGGCCUCCGUUUCUUUUUUCUUUUUUUUCUUUUUCCUGAGACGGAGUCUUGCUCUGUCUCCCAGGCUGGAGUGCAGUGGCACAAUCUUGGCUCGCUGCAACCUCCACCUCCCAGGUUCAAGUGAUUCUCCUGUCUCAGCUUCCCGAGUAGCUGGGACUACAGGCAUGCACCACCACGCCCAGCUAAUUUUUGUAUUUUUAGUAGAGACGGAGUUUCACCACGUUGGCCAGGCUGGUCUUGAACUCCUAACUUCAGGUGAUCUGCCCACCUUGGCCUCCCAAAGUGCUGGGAUGACAGGCGUGAGCCACUGCGCCUGCCCUCCAUUUCUUUAUGGACAGUGUGUGGUCCCAGCAUCCUGCAGUUGGUGUGAGGUGCAGGUGGGACGGCUUUGGGGCAGGCCCCAGUGCAGACGGCCCUGCUGCUUGCUGCCCCUGCCCCUGCCGCUGCCCCUGCUGCUGCCCCUGCCCCUGCCCCUGCCCCUGCCGCUGCCCCUGCUGCUGCCUCUGCCCCUGCCCCUGCUGCUGCCCCUGCCCCUGCUGCUGCCUCUGCCCCUGCGUUCCUGAGCGGGCCACCAUGCUAGUCUUUGGGAGUCCUUUUUCUUCUUUUUAAACCAGGCUUGAUUGGCUUAGGGAGAAACAGGAGACACCGCAUACCAUGCAGUUAAAAAUGAAACUCGGAUUAAAUGAAUAUUGAAUUCAGUACUGUACUGGCUUCCUGGAGCUGCUGAAAUGCAAACUGGGGGCUUAAAACCACGGAGACGUAUUCCCCCACAGUUCUGGGAAGUAGAAGCUCGAAUGCCUGUUGGCAGGGCUGAGCUCCUCUGCAGGCUGUGGGGAAGGACCUGUCCCAUGCCUCUCCUGGCUCCUGGUGGCCGCUGGCAAGCCUCGGUGUCCUGUGGCUUGUAGACACAUCUCUCCAAGUGCUGUCUCUGCCUCCAUCUCCGCGUCUUCCUGCCGCCUCCUUAUAACGACAGCAGCCAUUGGAAUGGGGGUCCACCAAAAUCCAGUCUGACUUCGUCUUCAUUUAACUGAUGAUAUCUUUAAAGAUCCUGUUUCCAAAUAAGGUCACAUUCUGAGCAUCCAGGGGAUGCGAGUUUUGGGGAGACUCGAUUCCACCAACACCAGCAUCGAAGAGGGCAGGGCACAGAGAUGAAGCUAAGAUCCAGGGCGCACACACUGAUGGGCACCCUUGAAAUAACGGCAAGGUCCACAAAACCACGGUGAGAUGCCACCGCACACCCAUUGGGAUGGCUACCAUCAAAACACAACAGAAAAUUACAAGUGUCUGCAAGGAAGUGGAGAAGCCGGAGCCCUUGUGCACUGCUGACGGGAAUGUGAAUGGUGCAGUCGCUGUAGGAAAUGGUCGGUGAGUCCUCAGAUGGCAUGGUGAUCCCAUAGGCAGUUCACACGAGCAGGAGGUGGGACACUCAAGCAUCCAUCCACCGAUGAAUGGAGACACAGAAUGUUCCACAAAAUGGAACAUUACUCAGCCUUAAAAAGGAAGGAAGUUCUGAGACAUGCUACAACACAAAGGAACCAGGAGGACAUCAUGCUGCGUGAACGAAGCCGGUCCCAAGAGGACAAAUGCCGUAUGGUUCCACGUGCACAAGGUCCCUGGAGUACUCAAAUCCACAGAGGCAGAAAGUAGAGUGGGAGGUGCUGGGGCUGGGGGAGUGAGUGUUUAAUGGGUUCAGAGUUUCAGUUUGGGAAGAGGGAAAAGUUUGGAGGUGGAUGGUGGUGAUGGUUACACAGCAGUGUCAAUGAACUUAACGUCACCAAACUGUGUGCUUUCAGAUGGUUAAAAUAGUAAAUUUUAUGUUAUGUGUAUUUUACUGCAAUAAAAAAGUUAAGCCAGG